GAAAGCCGUAUUCGAUGAAAGUCGUAUGUAAAGCUUGGAGGGAGAUGUUUCCUAUCUUUUCAGAUCUACCCUAC
rnacentral:ncRNA from 1 species